CGGCGCUGCGGCGGCGACUCCACCGGCCGGCUUCGCGCGCCGCCGCGGUGGUUCUCCGCCCCCGCCGGCUGCCUGUUCAGCCGGCGGCGGCGA
rnacentral:tRNA from 1 species